rnacentral:tRNA from 1 species
GCUCCCCUAGUGUAGCCCGGUCAAUCACACAGCCCUCUCAAGGCUGUAACCCGAGUUCAAAUCUCGGGGGGAGCG